rnacentral:rRNA from 1 species
UGGGCGCAAGCCUGAUGGAGCAACACCGCGUGAGUGAAGAAGGGUUUCGGCUCGUAAAGCUCUGUUGUUAAAGAAGAACACGUAUGAGAGUAACUGUUCAUACGUUGACGGUAUUUACCAGAAAGUCACGGCUAACUACGUGCCAGCAGCCGCGGUAAUACGUAGGUGGCAAGCGUUAUCCGGAUUUAUUGGGCGUAAAGAGAGUGCAGGCGGUUUUCUAAGUCUGAUGUGAAAGCCUUCGGCUUAACCGGAGAAGUGCAUCGGAAACUGGAUAACUUGAGUGCAGAAGAGGGUAGUGGAACUCCAUGUGUAGCGGUGGAAUGCGUAGAUAUAUGGAAGAACACCAGUGGCGAAGGCGGCUACCUGGUCUGCAACUGACGCUGAGACUCGAAAGCAUGGGUAGCGAACAGGAUUAGAUACCCUGGUAG